GAUGAACGCUGGCGGCGUGCCUAAUACAUGCAAGUCGAGCGAACGGACGAGAAGCUUGCUUCUCUGAUGUUAGCGGCGGACGGGUGAGUAACACGUGGAUAACCUACCUAUAAGACUGGGAUAACUUCGGGAAACCGGAGCUAAUACCGGCUGAUAUUUUGAACCGCAUGGUUCAAAAGUGAAAGACGGUCUUGGUGUCACUUAUGGAUGGUUCCUCACUGCAUUAGCUAGUUGGUAAGGUAACGGCUUACCAAGGCAACGAUGCAUAGCCGACCUGAGAGGGUGAUCGGCCACGCUGGAACUGAGACACGGUCCAGACUCCUACGGGAGGCAGCAGUAGGGAAUCUUCCGCAAUGGGCGAAAGCCUGACGGAGCAACGCCGCGUGAGUGAUGAAGGUCUUCGGAUCGUAAAACUCUGUUAUUAGGGAAGAACAGAUGUGUAAGUAACUGUGCACAUCUUGACGGUACCUAAUCAGAAAGCCACGGCUAACUACGUG
rnacentral:rRNA from 1 species